rnacentral:rRNA from 1 species
GACGAACGCUGGCGGCGUGCUUAACACAUGCAAGUCGAACGGAAAGGCCCUGCUUUUGUGGGGUGCUCGAGUGGCGAACGGGUGAGUAACACGUGAGUAACCUGCCCUUGACUUUGGGAUAACUUCAGGAAACUGGGGCUAAUACCGGAUAGGAGCUCCUGCUGCAUGGUGGGGGUUGGAAAGUUUCGUCGGUUGGGGAUGGACUCGCGGCUUAUCAGCUUGUUGGUGGGGUAGUGGCUUACCAAGGCUUUGACGGGUAGCCGGCCUGGGAGGGUGACCGGCCACAUUGGGACUGGGAUGCGGCCCAGACUCCUACGGGAGGCAGCAGUGGGGACUAUUGCAAAAUGGGCGGAGGCCGGAUGCAGCAACGCCGCGUGCGGGAUGACGGCUUUCGGGUUGUAAACCGCUUUCGCCUGUGACGAAGCGUGAGUGACGGUACUGGGGAAAGAAGCACCGGCUAACUACGG